rnacentral:rRNA from 1 species
AGCAGCCGCGGUAAUUCCAGCUCNUAUAGCGUAUAUUAAAGUUGUUGCAGUUAAAAAGCUCGUAGUUGAAUUUCGGGAUCAAUAUGUCGGUCGUGCCUUCGGUACGUACUGGUAUCAUUGGUCUCUCCUUUCUGACGAACCAUGAUGUCAUUAAUUUGGUGUUAUGGGGAGUUAGGACUGUUACUUUGAAAAAAUUAGAGUGUUUAAAGCAGGCUUUAGCUUGAAUACAUUAGCAUGGAAUAAUGAAAUAGGACGUUCGAACCUAUUCUGUUGGUUUCUAGGAUCAACGUAAUGAUUAAUAGGGAUAGUUGGGGGCAUUAGUAUUCAAUUGUCAGAGGUGAAAUUCUUGGAGUUAUUGAAGACUAACUACUGCGAAAGCAUUUGCCAAGGAUGUUUUCAUUAAUCAAGAACGAAAGUUAGGGGAUCGAAGACGAUCAGAUACCGUCGUAGUCUUAACCAUAAACUAUGCCGACUAGGGAUCGGAUGAUGUUAAUUUUUUAAUGACUCA